UGAGCUGGAAGUGGCGUGUGGACACAAUCUCCAUUUAUAAAGGCAGAGAGUGGGAUCACGAGCCUCAGCUAACCUGAGAUGGACAACAGGGACCUGUGGAUCCAGCUACCUAAAUUUGUUUGUAAAGAGGUUUGUGGCACGAUUAGUUCCAAUCAUUUCAUUUACAGUGCAAGGCAGUUGUCAAAGCUCUGAUUUGUACCUGAAGGGACACAAUUCUGCUGGUAAAGGUCUGAUUUUCUUUGAAAAAUACUAUGGAAGGAAGAAAAGUAAGAUCAUCAGCUUGAUUGUGAUCUUUUGUCACACACGGUCUGAGCUUCCGGUUACAGAAGACAUUACCCAACUGGAAGAACGGGUGGAAGAAGCUCUGGACUCACAGACACACAGUGACUUUAGGAGGGAGUUGCAAGGAAGGUUUCAGAGUGCCAAGCGUACCCUUGGCAUCGACUGUCGUGGCAGGGUAUACGCCUCCAGGAACAGUGGAGCUUACCAAACGGCAUGUGGACCGAAGCUGCCUUUGAAAAUGACAAACUAGAACACAUCUUUCACUUGACUUGAAGUUCAUAGUGCAGUAUUUCCACAGUGUUGCCCUUUUUUCAAAUGCAUGAAACAAAUUCCAUACGAAAAGUCUUCCAGAGCAUGUUUGUGGCCAACAGUAACUCAUGCUGUGUUAUAACUACAUUUAACACACAUGUUAACCUAACACGUAAGAAAGUCUGAAGACAGAAAUUCUCCAUUCUGCUAGAGGGCUUCUAGUGAUAAAUAAAAUA
rnacentral:lncRNA from 1 species